rnacentral:rRNA from 1 species
UACGUCGGAGGGCAAGCGUUGUCCGGAUUUAUUGGGCGUAAAGAGCGUGUAGGCGGCCAGACAGGUCCGUUGUGAAAACUAGAGGCUUAACCUCUAGACGUCGAUGGAAACCGUCUGGCUAGAGUCCGGAAGAGGAGAAUGGAAUUCCUGGUGUAGCGGUGAAAUGCGCAGAUAUCAGGAAGAACACCCGUGGCUAAGGCGGUUCUCUAGUACGGUACUGACGCUGAGACGCGAAAGCGUGGGGAGCGAACAGG